rnacentral:sRNA from 1 species
CAAAUAAUCGCUCUUACAAAGGUUGGUCAUUUGCAUUGUAUUUAUUUAUGUUACUUUAUUUUAACGUCUUUAGAAGUGAAACCAUGCAACCAACACAAACUCACAGGCUUGUAAAUUAUGUUCAUCCCAAAGAAAUCAAGCUAUUAAGAAUAUAAAUAAUGACCUUCCUUCCAACUAAAUGUUUCACCUUUAGUCAUAUAACAUAACUAUAACAAAACUAUAACCAAACUUUGUCUCCAAAAGAACUUUAACAAAUGUAUGUAGAGGUCACAAAUUGCAAAUAAAAACAUCAUUUGAAAGAAUA